UCCGUAGGUGAACCUGCGGAAGGAUCAUUGAUGAGACAUGCUCUCUCGACACCUUCGAGAUCCACCAAGCACGCGUGUGCUAACACGGUCGGGGGGUGCCGGCACGGCGUUGGCGGGGGAUGCUGGUGCCCGUGAUGCGUCGUCGCAGGCCCCGCCGCCCGCUCGCCGUGGUGGGCGCGGUCUCGUGCCCCGCACGGGGACGCCCUGGUCGCCGCGCGCGAGAACUCCACAAGGCGCGGCUUGGCGCCAAGGAACGGGGAUGGGUGGGAUCGGGUAUGCGCUCCGACUGAGGAGCGUCGCCUGAUCCGACGGUGCGCGAUGAGCGCUCGAAACGAAACGACUCUCGGCAACGGAUAUCUCGGCUCUCGCAUCGAUGAAGAACGUAGCGAAGUGCGAUACUUGGUGUGAAUUGCAGAAUCCCGCGAACCAUCGAGUCUUUGAACGCAAGUUGCGCCCAAGGCGACUUCGCCGAGGGCACGCCUGCCUGGGCGUCACGCAUACCGUCAUGCCAACCCCCGACGGAGAACGAAUGGCUCGGUCGGUGGGUGGGAUGGGAUGGUGGCCUCCCGGGCUCGCCCGGCCGGUCGAAAUUCCGUUCACCCCGUUUUGCCUUUGGGACUUCACGGUCGCUGGUUGUUGGAAGUUCCGGCUCCGCAGUGCGUGUCGUGCCGAACGUUGACGUGGUGGUCGGCCCCCUCUCUUAGUUGGCGUCGCCCUCGACCGCGACCCCAGGUCAGGCGGGAUGACCCGCUGAGUUUAAGC
rnacentral:rRNA from 1 species